rnacentral:lncRNA from 1 species
GAACUAUUAGGCGGAGGAAACAGAUCUUGGUGAGGGGGACUAUUAGACGUAGGAAACAGAUCUUGGUGAGGGGGACUAUUAGACGUAGGAAACAGAUCUUGGUGAGGGGGACUAUUAGGAGGAGGAAACAGAUCUUGGUGAGGGGGACUAUUAGACGGAGGAAACAGAUCUUGGUGAGUGUGACUAUUAGAAGGAGCAAACAGAUCUUUGUGAAAGGGACUAUUAGACGGAGGACACAGAUCUUGGUGAGGGGGACUAUUAGACGGUGAGGGGGACUAUUAGACGGAGGAAACAGAUCUUGGUAACGGGGUCUAUUAGACGGAGGAAACAGAUCUUCCUGAGGGGGACUAUUAGACGGAGGAAACAGAUAUUGUUGAGGGGGACUAUUAGACGGAGGAAACAGAUCUUGAUGAGGGGGACUAUUAGACGGAGGAAACAUAUCUUAGUGAGGGGGACUAUUAGAAAGGGGAAACAUAUCUUGAUGAGGGGGACAAUUAGACGGAGGAAACAGAUCUUAGUGAGUGGGACUAUUAGACGGAGGAAAAAGAUAUUGUUGAGGGGGACAGUUAGACGGAGGAAACCGAUCUUGAUGAGGGGGACUAUUAGACGGAGGAAACAGAUCUUGGUGAGGGGGACUAUUAGAUGGAGGAAAUAGAUCUUGGUGAGGGGGACUAUUAGACGGAGGAAACAGAUCUUGAUGAGGGGGACUAUUAGACGAAGGAAACAGAUAUUGUUGAGGGGGACUAUUAGACGGAGGAAACAGAUCUUGCUGAGGGGGACUAUUAGACGUAGGAAACAGAUCUUGGUGAGGGGGACUAUUAGAAGGAGGAAACAGAUCUUGGUGAGGGGGACUAUUAGACGGAGGAAACAGAUCUUGGUGAGUGGGACUAUUAGACGGAGGAAACAGAUCUUGGUGAGGGGGACUAUUAGACGGAGGAAACAGAUCUUGGUGAGGGGGACUAUUAGACGGAGGAAACAGAUCUUGGUGAGGGGGACUAUUAGACGGAGGAAACAGAUCUUGGUGA